rnacentral:rRNA from 1 species
UACGGAGGAUGCAAGCGUUAUCCGGAAUGAUUGGGCGUAAAGCGUCCGCAGGUGGCUGUGUAAGUCUGCUGUUAAAUAGUGAGGCUCAACCUCAUAAAGGCAGUGGAAACUACACGGCUAGAGUGCGUUCGGGGCAGAGGGAAUUCCUGGUGUAGCGGUGAAAUGCGUAGAGAUCAGGAAGAACACCGGUGGCGAAAGCGCUCUGCUGGACCUUAACUGACACUGAGGGACGAAAGCUAGGGGAGCGAAUGGG